UACGGGGGGGGGCAAGCGUUGUUCGGAAUUACUGGGCGUAAAGGGCUUGUAGGUGGCCAACUAAGUCAGACGUGAAAUCCCUCGGCUUAACCGGGGAACUGCGUCUGAUACUGGAUGGCUGAGUUUGGGAGAGGGAUGCGGAAUUCCAGGUGUAGCGGUGAAAUGCGUAGAUAUCGGGAGGAACACCUGUGGCGAAGGCGGCCCCCUGGUUGGAUACUGACGCUGAUACGCGAAAGCGUGGGGAGCAAACAGG
rnacentral:rRNA from 1 species